rfam:Tamlana nanhaiensis strain FHC16 contig14, whole genome shotgun sequence.
AAGUAGUUUGCGUUAGGGAUUGUAGCGGCAUCCUUUUUUGAGGUACGAGAAAAAGAUAUAGCGAAAAGCCCGACCCUUG